UGGGCAACCUGCCCUCAGCUCUGGGAUAACUCCGGGAAACCGGGGCUAGUACCGGAUACGACCUUCCCUCGCAUGGGGGUUGGUGGAAAGUUCUUCGGCUGAGGAUGGGCCCGCGGCCUAUCAGCUUGUUGGUGGGGUGAUGGCCUACCAAGGCGACUACGGGUAGCCGGCCUGAGAGGGCGACCGGCCACACUGGGACUGAGACACGGCCCAGACUCCUACGGGAGGCA
rnacentral:rRNA from 1 species